AACAGUGCUAUGAAGGAUACUGUGGCUAGAAGUCGUCCUGUCGUCCUGCCUCACAGUAACAUCGUUACCGAAUUCUCAGCAGGUGAACCAAAUGAAAUGGUCAACUGAAAGCCAACCAGGCAAAAAAUCACCAUGUACCAACCUAUCCAAACUUAUCCAUGGAUGAAUCUAUCCAGAAGACGGGAGUUCCGAUGCUUGUCUUGCUCUGAAUGUCUGCUUGUCACCUGCUUAGGGUUAUCGACUGUGAUUCUGGGACUCAUUGUUGUUCUACAGGACCCCUCUGACUCUGUGGUUUUCUCUACUGGAUUAACAAUGAUAGCCAUAGGUGCUUUUUUUGUUGUCCUCACUGGAGUGACAGCCCUGUGUACGGUUACAGUCGACGAGAACUUGCAGAAAACCACGAGGCUAAGACUAGGAGUGAUACGAAAAAGCGGAAGUCUCCAAGGAACUACAGAGCCUUCCAUGACUCA
rnacentral:lncRNA from 1 species